rnacentral:misc_RNA from 1 species
AAGUCGUAACAAGGUUUCCGUAGGUGAACCUGCGGAAGGAUCAUUAUCGGGAGUGCCCUCGUGGCUUAACCUGCAACCCAAUGUUUAUUAAACCAUUGUUUCUUUGGCGGGCUCGCCCGUCAGAAGACUUCUCAAACUCAUUAUAAACGUGUCAUCUGAAUAACUAAAAAAUAAAAUUAAAACUUUCAACAACGGAUCUCUUGGUUCUG